rnacentral:rRNA from 1 species
UACGUAGGUGGCGAGCGUUGUCCGGAUUUAUUGGGCGUAAAGGGCGCGCAGGUGGUGCGGUAAGGCUGCCGUGAAAUCUCCCGGCUCAACUGGGAGGGUGCGGUGGCGACUGCCGGACUGGAGGCACUCAGAGGCCGGUGGAAUUCCCGGUGUAGUGGUGAAAUGCGUAGAUAUCAGGAGGAACACCGGCGGUGUAGACGGCUUUCUGGACCGUAGCUGACGCUGAGACACGAAAGCGUGGGUAGCAAACAGG